GACCCUUUAAUUCGCACCGUUCAAUUUCUACCAUGUGUGUUCAUCUUCAUGCCGAAAUUGAUAAUGCUUGUUCCUCCUCAUUAUUGGAGUCGUGGUGGUGUGUUUUUAUAUACUGUGUAUCUAUAUUCACGAACCAGACCCUCUUCUAUCCAAAGUUGAGAACACAAGGUAGCUAAGAACCCACGCGGGGGAGAAGACAAGGACGAAAUCUUUAUAACUGUUCUUCAUCCUGACAGAUCUACUACUAGUAAUUACCUUGUAGAGCGAUCUACCUGCUACUUGUCUUCAGCCUCUACUCCCAUUUGGAGGUAAUUAUCUCCCUUUUUUUUAUCUCUUGAACUUUAGCCGUCUAGUCUCUUGAAAUCUUUUAUGAUUUGAUUUUUGUCAAAAGUAAGCUACUUCAGUUAUGGCUAUUGUGAUCAGUGGCGGAUCAAGAAAUUUUUUAGAGGAUUCGAAAAAUAAAAAUAUAAAUAUGUGAAUAGGCGUCUUUUUUUUGUUUUUUUUUUUCUUUUAGCUGUACAGGACAUACAAUAUCAGCUGUACAAAACAGUUUAUUUUUAAAAAAUAGGCAGCCUAGCGGGGAUCGAUCCGCAAAAAGGGCUGAGUUGGCGCCCCAAGUUAUGGAGAAAGUACCACUGAGUUAUCCAACAACCUUGUGUUAGAUGGUUCAAAAUUAAUAUAUGUACAUAAAUAUAGAUUUUCUAUUUUAUAUAUACAACGUAAUUUUUUGUCGAGGGGUUCGGAAACCCCUCGCUAACACGUAGGUCCGCCCCUGAUUGUGAUGCACCUUGUAUCAUGUUGAACUACAAAUUUUGCUAUGAUAAACAGUAUUUACUUCUUUUUAUAAAAACAUCCUAAUUUCUUGUAUGUUGUCUAGAAACUGUACUUAUCACCUUGUGCUUUUUAUGUAAUUUUUUUAUAUAAAAAACAUAUAAGAUCUGUUGUUGAUGAAAGUAAAAUUUUAUGGCUCUCGAAAUUUCAAUCGUGCCACAUAAAUUAGGUAUACAUAGUGUCUUCCUGACAAGACACGGGGUAAGCUGACCCAAAAUGAAAAAUAGAAAACUCGUAGAAACCAAUUAACAUCACACAAAGAAGAGGAUUGUUAGUACAAGCAUCCACCCAGAACUUUUCCACAGUGUAGUUGACACUAUCAAGGAGCUGGGGUGUUUCUAGUUACCGUAAAGGCCUUCUUGAUUGUCUAGAUUUGAUGAAUUUGAUACCACCAAUACGCUUCUUCGUCAAAGUAUUAUCUUUUUGGAUUCUCAGUUCAUCACUAAUUUAAUAAAGAUUUGGUUUUGGGGCUUUUUAAUUCACUCUUUGCUAUAAAAAAAAAAUUGAUAUCUUGUGCCUUGAGCCGGGGGUCUUUCGGAAACAGCCUUUCUACUUCAUCAGAGGUAGAGGUAUGGACUGCGUACAUCUUACCCCCGACCCCACUAAGUGGGAAUACACUGGGUUUGUUGUUGUUGUGUAUGCUAUAAUGUAUAUCUAGUUCUAGAUUUUCAAUGGUAUUUAUUAUCUUGUGUUGUUCUUCUCGUAGUGAGUUUUUUAAACUAUAUAAACUAUCACAUGUGCUUUUAUCUAAAUUUUCUAAGGUUUUUUCUAUCCAUACUAAUUUUUCUUUUAGGUCUUCCAUUAUUUUUCUAAUUCGGUUUCUAUAAUUAAUUUCAUUAUUUAGAUUUUCUUGAUUUUCUCUAGUUUGUCUAAUAUAUUCUAAAAUUUUUUAAUCUGAAUAAUAUCCUUCUGGGUAAAUUUCUUCGUAUAACUGUUCUAGACAAUUUAUAGUUUCAAUUUCGUAGUCUAUUACUUUUUCUAAUAUUAUUUUCUUAAUAUCUAUAAUUUCUAUGUUUUUAAGUAUAUAUAAUAUUAAAACUGUAAGAUAAUCUAAAUGAUCUAUUUUUAAAAUUGGUUUUAUUAUAAUAUUUUGUAGUUGUUUGUUUUAGCCUUAGUAGUUUUUGCAUAUUUUUAUUAAGAAAUUUUAUAUCUUUAUUUUCCAUGUAUUUAUCUAUAUUUAUUUUUAUCUGUUUUUCUAGUAACUGCAUAUUUUUUAUAUCUUUUUCUAAAAAUUUUAUGUAACUUAUCAUCGUAAGUAUUUAUAAGAGUAGUUAGGUAGUUGUGGUAUAUAAUUUAUUCUAGUCAUGUAAUAUUUACCAAAAGCUUUUUCUAAUAUUAUUUUUCUUAUAUCUGCUACUUUUAUAUUUCUAAGUGCAUACAAAAUAAGUAUCUUGAAUUUAUCUACCAUCACAUCAGAUAUAUUAUCA
rnacentral:lncRNA from 1 species